rnacentral:rRNA from 1 species
AUUGAACGCUGGCGGCAGGCCUAACACAUGCAAGUCGAACGAGUGGCGGACGGGUGAGUAAUGUCUGGGAAACUGCCUGAUGGAGGGGGAUAACUACUGGAAACGGUAGCUAAUACCGCAUACCAUCAGAUGUGCCCAGAUGGGAUUAGCUAGUGGGUGGGGUAACGGCUCACCUAGGCGACGAUCCCUAGCUGGUCUGAGAUGAUGACCGGCAACACUGGAACUGAGACACGGUCAAGACUCCUACGGGAGGCAGCAGUGGGGAAUAUUGCACAAUGGGCGCAAGCCGGAUGCAGCCAUGCCGCGUGUGUGAAGAAGGCCUUCGGGUUGUAAAGCACUUUCAGCGGGGAGGCGUUACCCAAAGAGAAAGCACCGGCUAACUCCGUGCCAGCAGCCGCGGUAAUUC